AGGGAGCAGGCCGACCUCUGGUAAUCACCCUCAACGUGAGAAGAUGGUGGAUAGGGUUCCUGCGCCACUUCGUAGCUGAAACCAUUUGCUCCCUGCCUCCUGGCAGUUGACCUAAGGUUAGAAGACCCACGGAAUAAUAGUGGAGCCGAGAUCGUGGGUUCCUGGAGCGGCUGGAAAGAAAAGAGUGAACGGCGAGACAUCCCCGCUGCAAUCCAGACGCUCUUAAGAUUCCUGAGCGUUUCUACUACUGUUUCAGAUACUCGCAGCGUUUUCUAAUUUUUGGGGUUUCUGCUCGAGACUUUAAUAAAGAAAAUAUAA